rnacentral:tRNA from 1 species
GGAAGUCAUCCGGCUGGAUGAGGGCCCUGUCUUGAAAACAGGUGGUGUCUUGUGGCAUUUGUGGGUUCGAGUCCCACGGCUUCCGC